UACAGAGGUCUCAAGCGUUGUUCGGAUUCAUUGGGCGUAAAGGGUGCGUAGGCGGCGCGGUAAGUCGGGUGUGAAAUCUCGGAGCUUAACUCCGAAACUGCAUUCGAUACUGCCGUGCUUGAGGACUGGAGAGGAGACUGGAAUUUACGGUGUAGCGGUGAAAUGCGUAGAUAUCAUUUGGAACGCCAAUGGUGAAAACAGCUCGCUGGGGGGUUUGCUGACGCUGAGACACGAAAGCCAGGGGAGCAAACGGGG
rnacentral:rRNA from 1 species